GGGCACGUAAGCACACAAGCAGUUGAACGUGGAAGGCGUUGGGAGCCAGAUAAUACAAGAUGUGGACUCUUGUGGCUGGAACAGCUGGGUGGCCUUGGCUUUGCAGGGUAUGUUCCCGGCCCACAGGGGGCUCUCCAUGGAUCUGAGGAGACUGGCAGGGCAGGAUCGGAAUCGGCACCCUGGAGAAGCUGUCGUUGGAGACGGCCUUGGCGAGACAGUGUGUUGCAGCUCCAGCUCUGUCCGCUGGGUUCAGCCCCCUCACCUUACCUCAGUCACUAACCUCUGUGCGCUCAGCGUUCUCAGCUGUUAAGUGGACGUAACACAGGUUGAGCAUCCUUUAUCCAAAAUGCUUGGGACCAGAAGUGUUUCCAGUGUUGGAUGUUUUCACAUUUGGGAACAUUUGCAGAUACAUAAUGAAGUAGCUUGUGGAUGGACCCAAGUCUAAAGAUGGAACGCAUUUGUUUUAUAUACUCCUUGUACACAUACCUGAAGGCAAUUUUACAUGGCAUUUCAAUAAUUUUGUGCAUAAAACAAAGUUUGUGUG
rnacentral:lncRNA from 10 species